rfam:Herbaspirillum seropedicae SmR1, complete genome.
AGCCGAAACAUCCUCAAAGGGUGUCUCUCAGAGGUGGCCUCCUGAGACUGAUGAUGGCUGGCUGUG